GCGUGCGGCCCCGGAAGGUGGGUUCAUUUCCGGCCCGCUGGAGCGGCGGUGGCGGUGCGGGGCCUUCGCCGGGAGCCCGGAACCCUUUCGGGCCGGGACGUGCGGCGGCGCUGGGUUCAUCCGGAAUUGUACGUUGACAAAUCAAGGGGAGCUACACUGAAGAUUUGAGCACCAAUGCCACGGAUGUAACGGGAGAGCAGCAGCAGGACAUAGAGCACAAGCCGUUUAAACAACGCUUGGAUAAAGCUGCCAACCGUGUGACUCCAGAAGCUGAGAGACACUGUAAGAUGCUGUUCUGCCAUUCUUGGAUGGAUGCUCUCGUAGCCUUUCAUCACCGUAUGCCUGCUAUGACCUUUGUGGGAACAAGGGACGGCUGAAUUCACAGCGUUUUAAACACCACAAACUCUUGAAGAGUUUAUAGGACACAAAUGUAUUACACUGGCAGAUCAGACAAGCUCCUCUCUGUGUGUAUGUAUAUUACACUCGGUACCUUUGCAAGGCAAGUCUUUGCCUAGUCACUCUGAAAUUGGGACAAGGACUCACUGAUGCAUUUCAGGAGCAAAGCUGCUGAGUGAACGGGCUUUUCCUACUAGAAAUCAAGCAGCUGCUCUGGCGGAACUUGACUUUGGUUGCAUCUUUAAAGCCUAGGAGGCUGACAAAUGGGACGAGCUGGUUGAAGAGCCUCUCUCCAGGGAAGGCUCCACUGACUUGACCCUUAAGCCUAAACUUGCAUCUUACUAAGUUUGCUUUGUGUGUGUUAAUGCAUACCCGAUUCAUAGACUUCAGUUGAUUGAUCAGUUACAAGUUGAAAUGGUCCUUGGCUACAUUAACCUCUCCUCUGCAUUUUUUUUACAUGUUAUGACUUACUGUUGUACUUCAAUACAAACUGGGAAUGAUUCUGGUAGUGUUGCAAUCUAACAGUAAUGCUGUCCCGACUUUGUCUUUCUAAAGUGUGAGGUCCUUAUUAUCUGUUCUGGGAGAUAGUGUGGUUCUGUGUAUUGGCAUGAACUAAAUUUGCUGGUUUGUUGUAACUCAGAUUUAACUUUUCUGUUCUUAAAAGCUGAAAGGCUAAACUAAGCCAAGAGCUGAACAGUGGGUGGGUACAAGAGCUUCUCCUGUUGUCACAGAAGUGUGGUGAUAGCGUUCUUACUGUUGCGUCGCUUAGCAGCCUUUCUGUAUUUGGAGGCUGUGGCGUUACGAACGUAAUGUCUGGGGUCAAACCCCACUUUUCUGUAUCUAAUUCUCUGUUAACACAUGUAGGCCUCCUGCCUUACUUGUGUUGCCAGCCUCCACUGGGAUUACUCGGUCUGAACCGGUUGCUCCUGCUCCUUACGUUAUCAACGGAGAGGAAGGGAAACUUGGAGGGAGCAGUCUCAUCCAGGAGAGGCAUUUUGAAAGCGAUCAAAUUGCAUUGCAUGCAACAAGCAAUUUCUUCUGCUGUCUGGAAAAAGUAUACGGCUAGUUUGAUUUCCACCACAGGUAGAUCUUCAUAGAAAGGAGUUACAUCUGGGAUUUCAGCCUUACCCUGUUCAGUCAGAAUCGGAGUCAUUGCUCAGAUCGCCUGCCGUGCAGCAGCUUUUGCUGCUUGAUCAGCCAAGGUAUUUCCUCCAGAUACAUUGUCCCGGUGGUUGGUAUGAGCCUUUACGUAAAUUCAAGUCCAUUUCAUUUAUCCUCCGUAGAUUUCAUAGUUUUGCAUAGCUUAAAGCUUCAUCCUCACUUAGACACGACGGUGCAAAUGCCUGAAAGCCAUCCAAGCCCCUUCCCGGUCAGUGGAGAGGAAGAGGCGCUCCCAGAAGCCCUUACUCUCAGCGUGCACAUCUGAAAAGGAUUGGGGGGGUUUCUGAUUAUUGCCUGAAACUUUUUAUUCUAGUAUCAAGAUGAAGGAAAUUGGUGUACUGAGCAGAAGUCUGAUAUAAUGGUUCUCAGUUCAGACUAAUUUCCUCAAAGUCAUUUUUUUAACGGGAAGAUGAUUUAUAUAGCAUCUCAGCAGCACCCACACUGAUCCAAACUGGUUACUUACUCGGUAUUUACUAUAGCUUUUCUGCAUGUCAUAGUCAGUAUGGAACCUCUUUCUUCUUUCCGGGUCCUCUGUUAAUCACAGGCAUGUAAUUGCAGGGGAAUGGAGGGGGUUGCAGCUGCCCAGUAUUUUAGGAUCAUAAUGAGGGACAGCCGAUGUCUAUACCUUAAAAUGUAUUAACAUGUGCUUAGGGAUGUCCUUUACACACUUUCUCACAGGAGUUUGUGCCGUCAUUGGAGGCAUAUUUACAGGUAUUGCAUCUUUCAAUCUUUUUUUCUUUCUACAUUGUAAACAUUUGCCAUCUUCUUCUAAAAUGUGUAUGGCUGAUAAUAAAUCCCUGUUUGAUGGGGAGAGAUGAUUUCAGACUUCAAGAGGGAAUAUAUCAAGAGUAUAAUUAGUGCUGCAGACUUUCAAGAUGCUGUGGAUGAUGUCAGACCUACCUAUCGUAAUAUUUUACUUUGAUGCUCUAAAGGACAUUUUUGUUUUCAAAUAAUGCACUUUCACAUACCAUAUGAAUGUAUCUGUGCUGUGUAUCUUGGCCAGCUUGGGUCUGUAAGCAGACAGUUGCUUUCAUGUGGAACUAAAGCCAGUAGAAUCUGUGAACCCAGGUUGCCAUGAGCAUAGCCAUCUCAAGAGGUGUUAGAAUGCGUUCCGAGACUUAGGAGCUCCAGUGAGUGCUCUGCAGGGACUAAAAGGAGCCCUCGCAGCUACAUGGGGCUCGUAAGGAGAGGCUGUUCCUGCGGAGCCGUUGGAGGGUCUGGGCUUCGUUCUCAGUGUUGGCUUCUGAACAGCUGAUCAGCGUCUGCUCAGCUCCAUGUGUGUGACAGAGCCCAGCCUUGGUCCAGCCUUGUGCUCCAGGUAAUAACUCAGGGUACUCUGAAACAGUCAUAGAUGUUCACGCGGCUGUGAAGGGCCAGCCUGGAGAUCUGGUCAGCAGAUCCUACGGACCUGAGAAGUCAGCUUCUAUAUGUAUCGCGUAAUAGCUUCGUCUGCAAGGUUCUCUCGUCACCUGAGGUGUCACAGUGCUCAAUUAACCUGAUGCUAUUAAACAGAAUUUGUCUGUGAUAAAUUUGGUCAUCUUUAUUUCUAUGGCUGACUCAAGGAGAGGCUUUCAAAACUUACUUUUGUGACAAAUGCAAUUGCCCUCUAGCACUGAUUACCUUUGACAGUAAGUUCCUGCUGCCAUAUGCCAUGUUCUGUGUCUAUAUUGUAGAGGAAAGAUGAAAUGGUGGCCAAGAAGGCCAGUAGUGUCCUGGCUCGUAUCAGAAAUAGUGUAGCCAGCAGGGUUAGGGAAGUGAUUGUCCCCCGGUACUCCUGCAGUGGUGAGGCCACCCCUUGCAUCCCGUGUGCAGUUUUGGGCCCCUCACCGUAAGGACAUGGAGGUGCUGGAGCCUGUCUGAAGAAGAGCAAUGACGCUGGUGGAGGGUCUAAAGAACAAGCCUGGUGAGGAGCAGCUGAGGGAACUGGGGGUGUUCAGCCUGAAGAAAAGGAGGCUCAGGGGAGACAUUACUGCUCUCUACGGCUCCCUGAAAGGAGGUGGUAGCGAGGUGGGGGUCAGUCUCUUCUCCCAAGUAACAAGUGAUAGGAUGAAAGGAAUGACCUCAAGUUGCAUCACAGGAGGUUUAGAUUGGAUAUUAGGAAAAAUUUCUUUGCUGAAAGGAUUGUCAAGCACUGGAACAGGCGGCCCAGGGAAGUGGUUGAGUCACCAUCCCUGGAGGCAUUUAAAGUUGUGUACAUGUGGCACUUAGGGACAUAGUUUAGUGGUGCACUUAGCAGUGGUAGGUUAAUCAUCGGUCCUAAAGGUCUUUUCCAACCUAAACUAUUCUAUUCUAAAGAAAUCAGUUGUGUAACAGUUUUUGUGUCACAGGAUCAAAUUUAUUCCAGAGGUAGAGAUAAUUUCAGGCCAAGACAACCACAAAAGGCAGUAGUCUGAAGUGUCACUCAAAGACCAGAUAGUAAUAAGGCCAGUCAUUCUGUAUUCUACAGUAAUAAACAGAAGACUCGGUUCCCGUUUUAGCGGCUGUUCUUUAUAUAGCAUUGCAAUGUGUGCCUUUAGGUAGGGCCAAGUAAUCACUUACUUAUUCCUUAGAUUGAGGUGUUGCAUAAAAGAAAAAAGAACAUGAAUCUUCAUAAAGGCACUGAAAAUACUGCUGGUCACUGGCACCCUGUGUUCCCUCCCAUGCAGGAGUUCAGGGUUCCUGCCCUGCGAAAGCUGCCCCGAUGGAUGCAGGGUUGUCUGGGUUUCAUGGUGCAGUAGACCAAUUCUAAAAUUUUCUAUGGUCCCAAAAAAGCACUGAAUUAAUAGGCUCCUUCAGUGCUGGAGAGAUUUGGGGAAAAUACUGCAGAAAGAACUAAAGGCAUCGGUUUGUUUUGCUUUGUGUCCUUGGUGGGUAAACAUGGCAGUCUUUGAUAAAGGAUGUCCAUCAAGGGCAGCGUUGGGUAGGGUAGCUUAUUUUUUAAGGGUGCUGGGAAAUGAGCAAAAAUGGGAAACAUGCCCUUGGCAAGCUGGGUCAGUGCAGUAACAUGGCAUAAAGCUCUCGACAUCAGCUUCCUUUCCAAAUUCAUCUCACUCAUCAGUAAGCACAUGUGACUUGGCCUGUCUCUUUUUUUACUUCUGUAAGACAGAUCUUUUUCUGGAGAAGCAUAAUCACCUCUGCCCUGCAAGUUGGAUCUUAUCUGCCCUAAUGAGCUGAGGUCGUUUUUCUUCUGAGCAGCAGCUGUUUUCUGUUGCGGGGGGAGCUGGAACUCCUUUCCACUAACAGAAGGGUUUGUGUUUUCUUUCCUUGAGAGUUGUUCUGUCUUCGAGGCAUGUCUGGCUUGAUGCAUCUGUGGUUUUUUUCUCCUUUUAGUCGCAGGACUCAUUGAUUCCUUGAUCUGUCACUCAGCACAGGCCAUCCAGAAGAAAAUUGAACUAGGGAAGACAACGUAAGCAAUGAGCUCACCCCUCAAAAAAAAACCCCAACCCUCUUUAAGGAGAACUAAACAGGUUUUUUGAAACACAAGUGAUCUUCUAAGUACACAAGAGAAGAGGUUUGGAAUUACCGGAUGGCCCUGACCACUCGUAUGUUACUGUUCCAUCAUUCUUUGUUCGGCAUUAAUUUUUGAGAAUGGGACUGCCUGAACCUUGCUGCUGUAAAGAUGACCGGUCUUGUCUGGCUUUGCAGACCCUACUGUAAAAACCCUUUUGUGCCAGGCCAUGUUCAUCCAGUUCUGCCCCCCCCCACCCCCUUCCCAAAAGAGAUGAUGGAGAUACUGCAUUCCAUUUGCCCCCAGGAAUAAUGUACUGUAUUUUCAUGAGACUUGGAAUAUGGAUUGAAGUUGCCAUCAAAUACGCUUCCUAGCAAGACCAUCUAGCUUUUUUAACUUUUCUUAAAGCUGUCUCUGGGUGUGCUGGUGCUGUAUGCCAGACCUCUGUGAAAAUGUGCUGAAUCCCACACACCUUCCUUCCAGCUGUUCUGGGCAGUGUGGUGAGAAGUAGCGCUUGGGAUGUGCUUACUGUACCAUGGAGCAUUGCGGUUGCCACAGAUUGCUGCUCUUGUGAAAAAUGCAAGUUGAUGUUUUGGCAAAAAAAAAGUGUUUGGAGUUUUAAUUGAUUUUUAAAUGGGAUUGUGUUUUUCAGUUCCCCUCUGUUUGUAUUUUGAAACAAAGUCCAUCCUCUGUGUAUUUUGGUAAAGCAUUUAGAAGAAUUAGAUUAUUUAAACGAUCCCUGGUACAUAAUUGGAAAUUAUAAUUAAAAAACAUACCCGUGUUGUGGCAAAAUACAUAGAUACAAUAAUCAUG